GUUUCCUGAGACCUUCUGAGCCAGGAUGAACUGCAGAAAAAUAAAUGGGAUGACUUUUGCAUCUUUUUUCCUUCAUCGGCCUCUGUUGGAUGUCAUGAUAUUUGGAAGUAAAAUGACUAAGUGGCAGAAAGAUUCAAGGAGGAUAUCACUGGUUGACAAGAUCAACAAUUUCCCUGAACGGUGUAGCAGGAAGGACUUCAGCAGAGCCAACAAGGAAUUCUCAAAAGUAAACUAAGUACCUGGACCCCCAAAGCCCCAGCAAUGGACACAGGACACCAUUCUUGCGCUUCCUUCCCACCACAGACACAGGUAAUUUCAAGCAGAUGCUUGGGAAGCUUGGGAAGGACACUGGUAUUAGGCAAGCAGGCUCAAGCCUGGUUCCACCAAUUGUGAGGUGUGGAACCUGGGCCAUAACUUUAACUUCUCCUAUUUUCAAGGGUUAGAUUAGCUGUCUUCAGAAGUCCCUUCUAAUGCCUCUAAUCACCUCUGAGCCUUGAUGUCCUCAACUUUAAAAUGAGAUCACAUUAUCUCAUUUCCAAGAAAGCUGCCUGUGCUUUUGAAGCAGGAAAUUUCCCUGACACCGUUGCAGGUGGGAACUGCAGUGCACGGGUGCUGGAUCUAGCUGGCCGCUUUGUCACUGGCAGGGGCAAACUCCACUCACUUGGACCCGUUGCACUUCACCCCUUGCAGAAGGGAGUCCACAGGUGAGCAGGUACAGGAGCCAGGGUGAGUGCUUCUGGGCAUCAGCUGGAGUGAACUCCGUGCAGAGUCCUGAGGCAGUGUCUAGUGGGUGCCCAUUACCCCUGAAGGCCCAGAGGGCAUGUGUUUUAGUCAGCGCUCUUUUAGCUUUUGCCAUCCACGGACGGCUUAAGUGUCAACAGUUCAGUGGGCCCUCUGCCUUUUUGCAUGAGACAGUUGCUCUCUACCGAGAGCACAGGGUCAGUGUGACAGCCUUUAGCAUCCUCACCCAUGGCACCCGAGCUCUUGUUUGGUGUCCAGGAAUAAUCAGGUCACAUGAAUGAAUUGAAGGGUGGUGAAUGUGGAGGAUUUUAUUGCUGAUGAACAUGGCUUUCAAUGGAGGGGAGCUGAAAAGGGGAUGGAGCGGGAUAAUCUUCCCCCAGAGUCUGGCCAUCCCUGGCCAGACUCCUCCCUGAGGUAACACUGUCAAGCCAUCCCUUUGAAGUCAAGCUGCUUCUCUCCAAUGUCUAGCUGCUUCUCCUCUUCUCCUUUCUCUGCUGUUGGAGA
rnacentral:lncRNA from 1 species